AAUCAACGCUGGCGGCGUGCCUCAGACAUGCAAGUCGAACGAUUAAGACUCCCUUCGGGAGGUGCAUAAAGUGGCGCACGGGUGAGUAACACGUAAGUAAUCUACCCUCGAGUGGGGAAUAACGUUCGGAAACGAACGCUAAUACCGCAUAACACAGCGGCACCGCAAGGUGACAGUUGUUAAAGGAGCAAUCCGCUUGAGGAGGGGCUUGCGGCAGAUUAGCUAGUUGGUAAGGUAAUGGCUUACCAAGGCUACGAUCUGUAUCCGGUCUAAGAGGACGGUCGGACACACUGACACUGAAUAACGGGUCAGACUCCUACGGGAGGCAGCAGUCGGGAAUUUUGGGCAAUGGGCGAAAGCCUGACCCCGCAACGCCGCGUGAAGGAUGAAGUAUUUCGGUAUGUAAACUUCGAAAGAAUGGGAAGAAUAAAUGACGGUACCAUUUAUAAGCUCCGGCUAACUACGUGCCAGCAGCCGCCGUAAGAC
rnacentral:rRNA from 1 species